rnacentral:rRNA from 1 species
UGGGGAAUAUUGGACAAUGGGGGCAACCCUGAUCCAGCAAUGCCGCGUGGAUGAUGAAGGCCUUCGGGUUGUAAAGUCCUUUCGGCGGGGAAGAUGAUGACGGUACCCGCAGAAGAAGCCCCGGCUAACUUCGUGCCAGCAGCCGCGGUAAUACGAAGGGGGCUAGCGUUGUUCGGAAUUACUGGGCGUAAAGGGCGCGUAGGCUGUGCUGCAAGUCAGGCGUGAAAGGCCCGGGCUCAACCUGGGAACUGCGCAUGAUACUGCGGCGCUUGAAGACGGGAGAGGAUGGCGGAAUUCCCAGUGUAGAGGUGAAAUUCGUAGAUAUUGGGAAGAACACCGGUGGCGAAGGCGGCCAUCUGGCCCGUGAUUGACGCUGAGGCGCGAAAGCGUGGGGAGCAAACAGG